UUUUAUUGAAUUGUAGUUGAUUUACAAUGUUGUGAUAAUUUCUGCUGUACAGCAAAGUGAUUCAGCUAUACAUGCACACACAUCCAUUCAUUUUCAGAUUCUUUCCCCAUACUGAGUAUCACAGUAUAUCAGGUAGAGUUCCCUGUGCUGUACAACAGGUUGCCCUUGGCCAAUCAUUCCACAUACCUCAGUGCGCAUGUGCCUAUCCAAACCCCCAGGCCAUCCCUUCCCCGACCUUUCCCCUUUGGUAAUAAUAAUUUUUUAAAAGUCUGUGAGCCUCUUUCUGUUUGCAAAUAAGUUCAUUUGUGUCCUUUUCUUAGAUUCCACAUUUAAGCAAUAUCAUGAUGUUUGUACUUCACUGUUUGACUUACUUCACUUAGUAUGAUAAUCUCUAGGUCCAUCUAUGUUUCUGCAAAAGGCAUUAUUUCAUUCUUUUUUAUGGCUAAUAUUCCAUUGUAUCUAUGUACCACAUCUUCUUUACCCAUUUCUCUAUCAAUGGACAUUUAGGUUGUUUCCAUGUCCUAUUGUAAAUAGUGCUGCAUUGAACAUAGGGAUGCAUGUGUCUUUUUGAAUUAUAGUUUUGUCUGGUGAGCUGCCCAGGAGUCAAAUUGCUGGAUCAUAUUAUAGCUCUAUCUUUAGUUUUCUGAGGAACCUCCAUACUGUUUUCCAUAGUGGUUGUACCAAUUUACAUUCUCACCAACAGUUUAGUAGAGUUGAAAUAUAUUCUUCAAGAAGAAGGAACACAAUCUCCCCCAAAGGCCUAAGAAAGAACAAAGAAGUGUGGACAUGUCAAUCAGCAAGCACUUGGUUGCAUAAGGUGGACAGUGAUGUGUGACCCAACCAUGAUAAUGGCUAAUAAGGGGGAAAUUCAAGGACUGAAACACUACACAACAAAGCAGGACUGAGAAUGGAAAGGUGGGAAGAGAAAGGGUGACUGAUCUGUACUUCCUCCUGUUUAUAAUGUUUGGUCAUGAUAGCAAAUGAUUUUACCUUCUAUCAAUUAUGAAGGUUUUAGUAACUUCUAAGCCCAUGUUCCAGCCCUGAUCUCUCCCAUUGACUCAAGACCAACCCAUGCCAUGUCUAAUAAACAUUUAAAGUUUAAUAGAUUUCCCCCAUCUCUAAAUCCAUUCCUUUUACUCUUUGUCUUGAUUCAGCAGAUGUCAUUUCCCCCAUCCAGGCUGUCUGGAUGUCCGGCUAAGACUCUAGGACCAUCCUUUCUUGGCUCCUUCUCUCCCAUCUUAAAACCACCCACCCACACAUCUUGCUGGCUCAACCUUUCAAAUAUCCUGAAUCUGAAAUUUCCUGAUACUCUUGGUGCCUCCUAUUGUCUAGAUUUAUGCAAAAUUCCUUGCUGAUCUUCCUUCUCUUUCUCUGUUCUUCUGCAGUCUGUUCUGGAAAGCAGAGCAAUGAUCCUAACAUGCAGGUAGAAGUGCCCUGGUGGUUUUCCGUCUGAGUCAGAAUAAACCCCAAGGCUCUUUCCUUGAUCUCCAAGGUCUGGGAGCAUCCCUAUCACUUUCUCCAUGUGAUCUUUUCUGACAUCAUGACUUAUAAAAUGCCCAGAUAUUUCUAUUUACACACUAGGAAUGCAGGUGUGGUUGUCCUUCAAACAUGCCACGUGUACUUGUCCCUCAAGAUUGUCCCUGCCUGAUGCUUUUUCACUCACUAGGAUGGUCUACCCUCAAUGUACAGAAGGCGACCUGAAUGUCUGUGUGCCCCCUCACUCAUAUGUUGAAAUCCUGUCCCCCAUGUGAAGGUCUUAGGAGGUGAGGAAUUUGGCAGGUGAUUAGGUUUUAGGGUGGAGCCCCAGGAAUGAGAUUAGUGCCUGGACCCUGAACUUCCAGCUUCCAGAACUGUGAAAAAUAAAUUUCCAUUGCUUAUAAGCCACCUGGUCUAUAGAAUUUUUUUGUAGCAUUCUGAACAGACUAAGACAAAUGGCAUUCUUCUUUACCUCCUUCAGGUUCCUGCUGAAAUGUCAGACCUAUUUCCUGAAUACUACAUAAUUGUACCCUAUGGUCAUCCCACUCUUUCUCCUGGCUUCUUCUUCAUAGGAUUUGCCAUAUGGUGUAUUAUAGCUUUAUUUAAGUUAAUAUCUUCUCUCUAUAAUAAAAGAUCAAAUAGAUCCAUGAGGGAAGGGACUUGGCUUUGUUGGUUGCUCUAUCUUUAGAACCUAAAACAAUUCUGGGCACAUAACAGAAGCUAAAGGGUAACUAGUAAAAGAAUAAAAAUAGACCACAUUCCUUCCCCUUCCAAAAAGAGGGAGUAGUGAUUGCAUCUUUAGACUCAAUCCUGAAGAAGUCAAAAAAAGAGAGGGAAAAGAAACAAAUAGUAUAAAAUAAAGCAUUAAAAAUAAGUCCACAUUAACUAAUAAUUACUUAUUACAACAAUAAAUGUAAACAGAUUAAAUUCACCAGUUAAAAAAUUAGAGAUUAUCAAGUUGUAUUUUAAAGUAAUUCAGUUAUGUUCUGUUUCCAAGAAAUACCUGGAAAUCACAGAACACAGGAAGAUUGCAGAAGGUAGAGCAGGCCAGUAAGAAAAAAAGAAGGUUGGUAUAUCCACAGUUAUAACAGGCAGAUUACAUCUUAAGGGAACUAUAAUACCAACCACACAAUAUUAAAAUAAGGCAAAACCCCAUAGUAUAUUAUUUAAGAACAUAUGCAUGUGCUGUAAUUGUAUAAGUAAAUGACUGACAGAUGACUCAUAUAGGUUACCUGGACCUGGGGGUGGGGGAGGAGGUGGAGGUGGAGGUUGUGAUUGGGGAAGUUUAUAAACAUGGUUUCAAUUCUUUUACUCUUUUAUUAUUCUAUGCUGUGUGCUGGGUAUAUAAGUAUUUGAUAUAGUUUCAUCAUAUCUGUUUUUAACUAUGUUGAAAAUAGAUCAUAAUAAGAAAACUCUUCUCCAAAUCUAAUGACAAACAACUUUUGAUUCAACAGACUAUCCAACAGGCUAUCCUCUGAAUGAGUAGGUCAGAGAGCCUCUUGCGAAGGAAAGUGACACUGAGGGGCAAGACAGCUGAAUGAGGUUUCCAGGCAUCCUCUUAGGAAAGGCAAGGGCAUUCUUGCUUUAGUAGGGUACUUGGAUGAGAAAGUUACUUAAACUCAGUUUCAUCCUCUGGGAAUUAUGUGUGGAUAUAGCAAGGGAAUUGUGAGUAUUAAAUGAAACAAUGAUGCAGGUA
rnacentral:lncRNA from 1 species